AGAACCAGAAAUUCAUGAACUAGAAAAACAUUUCCAUUUUGAGUCAUUCUAUCUUCUUUAAAAUAAAGGGUGGACCACUUUUGUCAUGAGGCUGCUAAGGAUUGACAAACAGGUUGCAGUUGGGUUAGGACUUGUACUGCAAAAGAAGAAUAGGUUCAACUCAGAAUCUUUGAAAGUCAUCUUCCUCGAAAAGUAGCUCACCGGCUUCAAUUUCCUGAACAAUUCCUGCAUGUGAAUUCUGCUGUGCACAUGCCUGGGAAGGCCUCCUCAUUGAAUGUGUGCUCAUGAUCACAGUAUACAGGAAGUCGAGGCCAAGGGUGAGAAUUUUCUCCCAGCUCUGCAUCUGCAGGAUGAACAUGUUUUAUAAGACGCUUGCUUCUUCACCUUCCAAGUUUACUCUAACUUGGGCAGCAUCUUCAGAAAUCAAUGGUUGGAAAAACGAACCCUGCCUGUAGCCAUCUUCCCAAUGUGGACAGUGAAGAACAAUGGACCUGGCUUAGCACAAGGUUUCUUCAGUCUAAAAUGUACCUUGUAAAAGGCUCUCGUGAUGAACUGGUGAGAAAUGUGGAAGAUUUUUAAGCCAAUUCCCAGACUGUCACUAUCACCUUCCAGAAACGGGAAGGGACAUCGAAUGUUAGGCA
rnacentral:lncRNA from 1 species